UACGUAGGUGGCAAGCGUUAUCCGGAAUUACUGGGCGUAAAGCGCACGCAGGCGGUCUUGUAAGUUUGACGUGAAAGCUCUCGGCUUAACUGGGAGAGGUCGUUGAAGACUGCAAGACUUGAGGAAAUGAGAGGGGUGUAGAAUUCCCGGUGUAGUGGUGGAAUGCGUAGAUAUCGGGGGGAAUACCAGUGGCGAAAGCGGCACCCUAGCAUUUUUCUGACGCUCAUGUGCGAAAGCGUGGGGAGCGAACGGG
rnacentral:rRNA from 1 species